CACAAGUUUCGUCCCACAAUUGGAGUAAAGAACCAAAGAUGCCCCUCUUCUAUUGCACAUGAAACCUCAUUAUUGAAUGCUGGGGGCAAGUUUUACCGCAUGUUAAUCCUAGCACCAUUAUUUCUCUGGCUUGGAUCACUAGUGGACAAGCUAUGGUGAUAAAUAAGGGAAGCUUGUCGGAUAAAACAGGACAAAAAUCCACGUCCUUAAAUAUGAUAAACUGGAGUAGCUGAGCUCACUUGGUC
rnacentral:lncRNA from 1 species